AGACGAAACUAAAGGUACAGUUACUAGUUAGUGUUUUUGUGUGUUUGGAUGUGUGUGUCGUGGAGGAGUGAUCUGUGCCUGUCCAUGUGGCUAUAUGACGAACCAGGCUGUUGCCACGGUGACGGUGGUGGUGGACAUGACACAGAUGCGGGAGGUGGAGUUUGUGCCCGAUGGAGACAUGCAGCUGGACAAAUUGUGUUGGUCAUUGGUCAGACUGGAGUUUACAUGUGUACCUCCUUCACCAUCAUUGGUGGACACUUCACCAUGAGUGAUGCUUGAGCUGUCAUGGUGCUGCUGCUGCUGUGUGCCAUCAUCACCCUGACACAGACCACCCUGCAGACACCUUCAUCCUGGGUGCCACACGUCGCUGCUGCUACAACUCGGAGCAACAAGAGCGCAAGCCAGGAAGGGAAAUGGUUACCUUCUUGUUGAUGUGCAAUCUUGCUACGUGGACGACCAACAUUUAAAUCUUACUAAAAUGUAAUGCGCAUCACUUUCUGAUUUCAUCCCAGUGGCACACAAACCAAAAUACCUGAGUAUGGAGAUGGCUGGACUACCUCCUUUGGCCACCCCUGUUAUAUCUUAAUUUCCCACUGUCUUUCCUGUGUGCUGGUUAAGCUACUCACUGCUGAAGUCCCUGGAAACUAGGUAGAAUAAUUUAGAAUGACAUGGUUAAGUUAAUGCUGAUAAAAUCUCAUUUGUAAUAUUCAGGAAGAUUGAAUUAUUCUUCCUCUGUUGAAGCAAAUGAUAUAACAUUGACUAGAAGCUUUCACAAUAUUUAUAAGCUUUCUUGUAUCAGAGAUCUUUUGAAAAUCCAACCAUUAAUUUGUAAAUACUUGUAUAGUGUAGCUGGCAUGAGGGUUGCAGUCUUCAUUAUUUACUAGUGGACAAGCAACAAGUGAUGGUGUGGCUCUGAGGCACUGUAGUAGGGAUGUUAUUUAAGGGUAGGAAGUUGCAAAUGCUCACCUAACAAUUGCACCUUAGUAGAAAAACACAAACAGGAAAUUUAUGCAAGUUUUUAUCCUUAUAUAAAAUGUUGUAUUGCAUCAAACCUCCAUACAUUACUGUCUCUAUCCAGUAUGAGACCGGUGUUCAGGAAGCACAAGCACGUGCUGAAUAACAAGAAGCCGGCGUGGCUCAAGAGGAAGAGUGAGUAGGACGAGAAAAAACAGAACAAAUAAAUCCCCUACACGUGUUGUCUCCAUUGACACAAGCCAUGACAAGCUUGUCCAUCCCUGAGUGCUAAGGAGCAGUGUGUUCAACUGAUGAUGUGGAAACUUGAGACAGCCAAUCAUUUAAUGGACUUUAGUAGGUUUUGUCACCAGUCCUCUGUGUGUCACUCACUACAUUUUGAAAUUUUUACUUGUUCUAUUUAAUUUUGUGUGUAUGUACACAAUGUUUAUGGUCAAUAAACUGUUCAUAAAAACUAUUUAUCUGUGUGAGUAAGAUAAAAGCAGUUAUUAUUAUUAUUAUUAUUAUUAUUAUUAUUAUUAUUACAUAUUUUCCUUGUAUUUAAAUAUUAUUAUUAUUAUUAUUAUUAUUAUUAUUAUUAUUAUUAUUAUUAUUAUUAUUAUUAUUAUUAUUAUUAUUAUUAUUAUUACAUAUUUUCUUUGUAUUUAAAUAUUAUUAUUAUUAUUAUUAUUAUUAUUAUUACAUAUUUUCCUUGUAUUUAAAUAUUAUUAUUAUUAUUAUUAUUAUUAUUAUUGUUAUUAUUAUUAUUAUUAUCAUGCAUUUUCUUGUAUAUAAAUAAAAUACUGUAACUGA